rnacentral:rRNA from 1 species
UACGAAGGGGGCUAGCGUUGUUCGGAAUCACUGGGCGUAAAGCGCACGCAGGCGGCUGGUCAAGUCCGAUGUGAAAGCUCCCGGCUUAACUGGGAAAUUGCAUCGGAAACUGAUCGGCUGGAAGGUGGGAGAGGGUAGCGGAAUUCCCGGUGUAGUGGUGAAAUGCGUAGAUAUCGGGAGGAACACCAGUGGCGAAAGCGGCUACCUGGCCCAUUCUUGACGCUGAGGCGCGAAAGCUAGGGGAGCAAACGGG